rnacentral:rRNA from 1 species
CGACGAGUCGAGUUGUUUGGGAAUGCAGCUCUAAAUGGGAGGUAAAUUCCUUCUAAAGCUAAAUACUGGCCAGAGACCGAUAGCGCACAAGUAGAGUGAUCGAAAGAUGAAAAGCACUUUGGAAAGAGAGUCAAACAGCACGUGAAAUUGUUGAAAGGGAAGCGCUUGCAGCCAGACUUGCCCGCGGUCGUUCUUCUUCCGCGGGCAGGCCAGCAUCAGUCUGGGCGGUCGGAUAAAGGCCUCGGGAAUGUAGCUCUCUUCGGGGAGUGUUAUAGCCCGGGGCGCCAUGCGGCCAGCUCGGACUGAGGUCCGCGCAUCUGCUAGGAUGCUGGCGUAAUGGCUGUAAGCGGCCCGUCUUGAAACACGGACCAAGGAGUCUAACAUCUAUGCGAGUGUUUGGGUGUCAAGCCCGGGCGCGCAAUGAAAGUGAACGGAGGUGGGAACCCCUCGGGGCGCACCAUCGACCGAUCCUGAUGUCUUCGGAUGGAUUUGAGUAAGAGCAUAGCUGUUGGGACCCGAAAGAUGGUGAACUAUGCCUGAAUAGGGUGAAGCCAGAGGAAACUCUGGUGGAGGCUCGCAGCGGUUCUGACGUGCAAAUCGAUCGUCAAAUUUGGGCAUAGGGGCGAAAGACUAAUCGAAC